UAACGUUGCGCCAGCAACGGCCCGUAGGGCGAGCGAAGCGAGUCAUCCUGCACGACCCACCA
rnacentral:sRNA from 1 species